UGAGGAAUAUUGGGCAAUGGGCGCAAGCCUGACCCAGCCAUGCCGCGUGAAGGAUGAAUGCCCUAUGGGUUGUAAACUUCUUUUGUACGGGACAAAACUCUCGGACGUGUCCGGGAUUGAUGGUACUGUAUGAAUAAGCAUCGGCUAACUCCGUGCCAGCAGCCGCGGUAAUACGGAGGAUGCGAGCGUUAUCCGGAUUCAUUGGGUUUAAAGGGUGCGUAGGCGGAAUAAUAAGUCAGUGGUGAAAGCCUGCGGCUUAACCGUAGAAUUGCCAUUGAUACUGUUAUUCUUGAGUAUAGUUGAAGUAGGCGGAAUGUGUAAUGUAGCGGUGAAAUGCUUAGAUAUUACACAGAACACCAAUUGCGAAGGCAGCUUACUAAGCUGUUACUGACGCUGAGGCACGAAAGCGUGGGGGAGCAAACAGGAUUAGAUACCCUGGUAGUCCACGCUGUAAACGAUGAUCACUCGUUGUUGGCG
rnacentral:rRNA from 1 species